rnacentral:tRNA from 1 species
GGCAGUAUGGCCGAGCGGUCUAAGGUGCUGGUUUUAGGCACCAGUCCAAAAGGGCGUGGGUUUAAAUCCCACAACUGACA